rnacentral:rRNA from 1 species
GGGUUGUGAGGUUAAGCGACUAAGCGUACACGGUGGAUGCCCUGGCAGUCAGAGGCGAUGAAGGACGUGCUAAUCUGCGAUAAGCGUCGGUAAGGUGAUAUGAACCGUUAUAACCGGCGAUUUCCGAAUGGGGAAACCCAGUGUGUUUCGACACACUAUCAUUACGUGAAUCCAUAGCGUAAUGAAGCGAACCGGGGGAACUGAAACAUCUAAGUACCCCGAGGAAAAGAAAUCAACCGAGAUUCCCCCAGUAGCGGCGAGCGAACGGGGAGCAGCCCAGAGUCUGAAUCAGCUUGUGUGUUAGUGGAACGGUCUGGAAAGUCCGACGGUACAGGGUGAUAGUCCCGUACACCAAAAUGCACAGGUUGUGAACUCGAAGAGUAGGGCGGGACACGUGGUAUCCUGUCUGAAUAUGGGGGGACCAUCCUCCAAGGCUAAAUACUCCUGACUGACCGAUAGUGAACCAGUACCGUG